UACGCAGGGUGCGAGCGUUGUCCGGAAUUAUUGGGCGUAAAGAGCUCGUAGGCGGUCUGUCGCGUCGGCUGUGAAAUCCCGAGGCUCAACCUCGGGUCUGCAGUCGAUACGGGCAAACUAGAGUAUUGCAGGGGAGACUGGAAUUCCUGGUGUAGCGGUGAAAUGCGCAGAUAUCAGGAGGAACACCGGUGGCGAAGGCGGGUCUCUGGGCAAUAACUGACGCUGAGGAGCGAAAGCGUGGGGAGCGAACAGG
rnacentral:rRNA from 1 species